UGUACACACCGCCCGUCACACCAUGAGAGUUAGCAACACCCGAAGUCCGUGAGGUAACCGUAAGGAGCCAGCGGCCGAAGGUGGGGUUAGCGAUUGGGGUGAAGUCGUAACAAGGUAGCCGUAGGAGAACCUGCGGCUGGAUCACCUCCUU
rnacentral:rRNA from 1 species